GCAGCCAGUGGGGGAAUUUUGCCCCAAUGGGCCCCAACCCUGAUGCCACGUCCGCCGCGUGAGGGGAGGCCGGCCUUCGGGGUGGUAAACCUUCUUUCAGUUAGGGAAGGAAGGGAAAGUGGCCGGUCCCUGCAGAAGAAGCCUCGGGCUACUUACGUGCCAGCAGCCGCCGUUAAUACGUAGGGUGCGAGCGUUAUCCGGAAUUAUUGGGCGUAAAGAGCUCGUAGGCGGUUUGUCGCGUCUGUCGUGAAAGUCCGGGGCUUAACCCCGGAUCUGCGGUGGGUACGGGCAGACUAGAGUGCAGUAGGGGAGACUGGAAUUCCUGGUGUAGCGGUGGAAUGCGCAGAUAUCAGGAGGAACACCGAUGGCGAAGGCAGGUCUCUGGGCUGUAACUGACGCUGAGGAGCGAAAGCAUGGGGAGCGAACAGGAUUAGAUACCCUGGUAGUCCAUGCCGUAAACGUUGGGCACUAGGUGUGGGGACCAUUCCACGGUUUCCGCGCCGCAGCUAACGCAUUAAGUGCCCCGCCUGGGGAGUACGGCCGCAAGGCUAAAACUCAAAGGAAUUGACGGGGGCCCGCACAAGCGGCGGAGCAUGCGGAUUAAUUCGAUGCAACGCGAAGAACCUUACCAAGGCUUGACAUGUUCUCGAUCGCCGUAGAGAUACGGUUUCCCCUUUGGGGCGGGUUCACAGGUGGUGCAUGGUUGUCGUCAGCUCGUGUCGUGAGAUGUUGGGUUAAGUCCCGCAACGAGCGCAACCCUCGUUCCAUGUUGCCAGCACGUCGUGGUGGGGACUCAUGGGAGACUGCCGGGGUCAACUCGGAGGAAGGUGAGGACGACGUCAAAUCAUCAUGCCCCUUAUGUCUUGGGCUUCACGCAUGCUACAAUGGCCGGUACAAUGGGUUGCGAUACUGUGAGGUGGAGCUAAUCCCAAAAAGCCGGUCUCAGUUCGGAUUGGGGUCUGCAACUCGACCCCAUGAAGUCGGAGUCGCUAGUAAUCGCAGAUCAGCAACGCUGCGGUGAAUACGUUCCCGGGCCUUGUACACACCGCCCGUCAAGUCACGAAAGUUGGUAACACCCGAAGCCGGUGCCUAACCCUUGUGGGGGGAGCCGUCGAAGUUGAACC
rnacentral:rRNA from 2 species